CCCGCUGAACUUAAGCAUAUCAAUAAGCGGAGGAAAAGAAACUAACAAGGAUCCCCCUAGUAACUGCGAGUGAAGCGGGAAGAGCUCAAAUUUUGAAUCUGGCGGUGUUUGGCCGUCCGAGUUGUAAUCUAGAGAAGCGUCUUCCGCGCUGGACCGUGUACAAGUCUCCUGGAAGGGAGCGUCAUAGAGGGUGAGAAUCCCGUCUUUGACACGGACUACCAGUGCUAUGUGAUGCGCUCUCGACGAGUCGAGUUGUUUGGGAAUGCAGCUCAAAAUGGGUGGUAAAUUCCAUCUAAAGCUAAAUACAGGCGAGAGACCGAUAGCGAACAAGUACCGUGAGGGAAAGAUGAAAAGAACUUUGGAAAGAGAGUUAAACAGUACGUGAAAUUGCUGAAAGGGAAACGCUUGAAGUCAGUCGCGUCGUCCAGGGAUCAACCUUGCUUUUGCUUGGUGCACUUUCUGGUUUGACGGGUCAGCAUCAAUUUUGACCAUUGGAAAAAGGCCAAGGGAAUGUGGCAUCUUUGGAUGUGUUAUAGCCCUUUGUCACAUACAAUGGUUGGGAUUGAGGAACUCAGCACGCCGCAAGGCCGGGUUUUUGAACCACGUACGUGCUUAGGAUGCUGGCAAUAUGGCUUUAAUCGACCCGUCUUGAAACACGG
rnacentral:rRNA from 1 species